AUCAAAAGAAAACCUGCCCAUCUAGGCUCUAACAAAUAUAGUAGAAACCUAUAAUGUUGUUAGAGAACAAACAACAAGAAAAUGCCCAAAAUAUUCCCAAAAUAUAAUUUAUUUAAUUAUAAUCAACAUAUCGUGAUUUAUAAAAUAUUAGAAAUGACAAAAAAAUGAAGAACCAGCAGGAAACCGGAUACCGCAAUCCACUGGCCAAUGCCGCUGCUACCCACCAAAAGAUGGAAAACAUGUCAAGUAUGCCAAUGGUAUAUAUCAGGGUGAUUCACAAUAUAGUAGGCCUAAUGAUGCUACUGUUGUAAAGUAAAAAGCAUAUGGUCAUCACCCCGUACAUAACCACUAGGCAGAGCUGACUCGAAGGGCAGUUAAAGAAAAAUAAUCAAACAGACGCUAGAAUCUAGCAGCAGAGGGAGAGGUUGAACCCUCAGAAAAUAAUAAAGCACAAGACCUUACAAUAAAGGAUAUGGAGGAGCCGAGCUAUCAACUACAGAUAGACAUCAAAAGCAUACCACAAGACAUGAUGGAGGGUGAAAAGCAGCAGGCACAGGACAGGAUAGGAACCUCGACGCGAGUUUCGCCUCAGCUUCGUCGGGAUAUAAGUGAAAGUGUGACCGUAUUCCCCUAUUUAUAUCUCCGGUAAAGAUUAAACACAUGUGGUCUAAAUAAACAAUCACAACAGCUGAUGCCUAAUAUCGAGCGCUCCAUACCUGAUGAUGCACACCGAGCCCACAGUGAUGACGCCGCACUCAUCAGGAGGAGGGAUGGAACGCACGUUAUGCGUUCCAGCCCGCCUCUCAAGGAGACGUAGCGGCGUCCCCACGUGACCCUGCGCACAGCGCAUCAUAGCAGAGCGCUACAGCAGAUGAUCAGGUAAACAAGAUGCCAGAAUAUCCGGUUUCCACCUGGAUCCAGUUACAUAAAGGAGUCCCAUAUAGUCAGGCAAACAUAUACCUGCUUCUACAUCUGUGGUUUAUGACAGUCAACUUGAGAACCUCUAUGUAAUGUCCGGCAAGCAGUGGUCACCACUAAACGGCUCCUCUCUUGCUGGAGAGCUCUGUCUCUGGCUUUGGUCUUUCCAGUUUCUCUUAUGGUCCCUUUUAAAUCUUCUCUUUCCAGCUCAGCAGUGUUACUAGCCAAAGGUAAUCUAAAAAAUCUAACUUAAUUCUCUAAAAAUCUAAAUUAACCCAAAGCAGAGAACUUUGCUAGUGAUUCCGGACCUUAGAUAGAGACAAACCAUCUAGUUCUGCAGCUCCUCCUUGGUGAAUGGCCCUCAGGUCGUGGAAUGCAGAGCGAUGAGUUGAUGCAGAGUUAUUAUACCAAAUCCAGUGCAUGUAGACUAUAUCAACCCAAGCUCUGUCACUUUCCUGAUCAGUACAUCAAUAGGUUACCUAGAGAACUAGGCAGUUAAAUCACAGGUCACGCAUUACACUUACAUAUAUAUAGAGGAGGACUGGUCAAAGACCCUACAGGGAAACUUCCCGGUAGGCUGAUGCCCAGGGGGACACCCAAGCCCUCCUCAUGGCCGCCAGUCAUGGUAAGUAAUGAUCUGACGUUUCCCUCCUGACUCCUGAUUUCAAAUGUAUUGCCAUCCUAAGGCAACUGGAGUAGGAGGACAGAACAUGACAGCUGGAGCUGGCCACUAUAGAGGGGAAGUUUUUGGGAAGGUGUUUUGUGCUGCUGGGGUAUUAUACCUUAAUACGUUAUUGCUGCCACUUGUGUUGGCUCUCUUCUGUCAAUUCGGACCAGACUACAAAAUGGGGCUACUUUUAGUUUUUUCCAGAGCCACUUUGAGUUUCCAAUUCACCCCUGCAUAUAUACACGUGCAUGCUUACACAUUACACACCCAUACAUAUUUCACCCACAGUGCACACAGAUUAACACACAUACAUACACAUUGCACACAAGGUACACACAUUACACAUACUUCGCCUCCAGAGCUGUCACAUCCCAGCACUCCACCUCCUUUUCUAUCUCUCCCAACACAGCUUCUGUCUGAUUCAAAUUACGACAGUUGGAAAGAAUCCCUGGCUGUUGUAACUUCCUGCAGUGCAAACAGAAGAGGGCAUGGGAAGGCAGGACUUCCAGAAACGCACAUCUUGCACCCCGUCCACAUCUCAACCUGACUGUGCCCCAGAUGUUCGACCCUUGGAUGUGGGUCACUGAGUUAAGUCAGCGCAUGUUGCAGAAGGGCUAUGAUAAAACCCGGUCCCACGCUGACAAGCGACGGAUAGUUCGGAGAAUUCGGUACGAGCUAUGGAGGGAACAUGAUGGCCAGCACAAUAGGUUGGCCAUCGUUAACAAAUGGUCCGACCUGAAGCGGUAGAACUCGGAUUGGAUCAUACAGAUCUGCGACAAAAUUUGCCCAGUACUAAGACAAAUUAACAAAAAAUAUUAAAGAUGCAGCGGGAGCACCAGCAAGACAUCAAGGAGAUCCGGGAGCACCAUCUGAGAAAGCUGCGGGAGCUGAAACUCCAGUUUUCUCAUAAAAUAACAAAGUUGGAGGAGAAACACAACAAGGCCGUGGAGGAGCUGUUAAACCUCCAUGACCAAAUUAAAGCUUUCCCCUAGUUUUUAUUGUAAAAGAAUAUUUUAUAAUAAUGUUAAUUAUUAAUAUAAAGGUUUUCUGUUAAAAUGUUA